ensembl:lncRNA
GUUAUGGGAGCGCAGAGAGGAUGUGUUCGUGACUACGUCGAAAUCCGGAGCAAGGUUGUGCAGGGCCCAAAUAUCUAUCGAGACCAAAGAGGCAGCCGAGAACAGUGCCAAAUCUUCAGAGGCAACACUUGCCACCUGCUGAGGUGGCCACAAUAAACACUAUCGGGCCAGACUGGAGUUCUCAGGGAAGUUGUCAAAAGAGUCCCCUGCAGAGGAUCCCUUGUGCCAAUCAACCAGCGAGACAGACAACUUGAAACAUGCUCAGUACUUUUAUGAGGCGAGAUGGCCAAUGACCUUCACGCCUGGUGGGGAAAGUCAAGCUGGACGUUUCUUGGAAUUUCUCCGUCCCUCGCUCUGCCUCCAGCUGUCAUUCCUCAAGCCUCUUCUUCCCUAGGACUGUUUGUUUGUUGUUUAUCAACCUACAUUCUUUUGCCUUAACCCAAGAUUGAAACCUCAAAGAGAGAAGAUUAUUAAAAAAAAUUGUGAUCAUCGAUUUGCGAAGACACUGAUUUCCGCUUCUUGUACUUCUGACACUGCUGCAACUGCGAUUAGACCUCCAUGCAGAAUUUAGAAAUAACUUUUACUUGACUGCUGAUAAAUUCUCAAAUUGACCAUCAUAAUGUUAUACUGAAAAAUAUGUACAACUUAAUAGUUCUAAAAUAUUAAGAGAUGGACUAAUUAAAUCGAACAACACGAAUCUACUCAGAUUGGAGUCUGUAUUCUGAUAUCAAUGUAUUAUCUUGCAUCUAUAGAUGCCCAGCCCAUAUAUAAAAGUUAUAGCAUAACAUGAAUGGAAUACUCUGUAUGCCUUCAUACUUGACAUGCAUCAUUAAAGCGAUCUCAUAUAG